GACGAACGCUGGCGGCGUGCCUAAUACAUGCAAGUAGAACGCACAGUUUAUACCGUAGCUUGCUACACCAUACACUGUGAGUUGCGAACGGGUGAGUAACGCGUAGGUAACCUGCCUGGUAGCGGGGGAUAACUAUUGGAAACGAUAGCUAAUACCGCAUAAUAUUGAUUAUUGCAUGAUAAUUGAUUGAAAGAUGCUAUUGCAUCACUACCAGAUGGACCUGCGUUGUAUUAGCUAGUAGGGGAGGUAACGGCUCACCUAGGCGACGAUACAUAUCCGACCUGAGAGGGUGAUCGGCCACACUGGGACUGAGACACGGCCCAGACUCCUACGGGGGGCAGCAGUAGGGAAUCUUCGGCAAUGGACGAAAGUCUGACCGAGCAACGCCGCGGGAGUGAAGAAGGUUUUCGGAUCGUAAAGCUCUGUUGUAAGAGAAGAACGGGUGUGAGAGUGGAAAGUUCACACUGUGACGGUAUCUUACCAGAAAGGGACGGCUAACUACGUG
rnacentral:rRNA from 1 species